rnacentral:misc_RNA from 1 species
AUCAAUGGAUAGGUUAAUAAAAUUGCUAGCUUCACCCUCGUCCAUUCUACAUACUGUACCUAUUACUGAUUUCAUAGUGCAUAAAACUUGCUACUUUAUAGCAUUUGAAUUGUACAUUUUUAAAUUUUUUUUUUCGAAUGGAAUAUGUUAUGGUAAAUAAUACAGUGAUGUAUAACUGCAAAGUAUUUUUAUUUUCAUAAAUUGUAUUAUUUAAUAUUUUGUUGCCACAAUUAUGGUCCAUAAGUGUUGUGUAGCUGGUUGCAGGGAAAAAUAUGUCAAAGGCCUAAGUUUGUUCAAAGUUCCAUUUCACGAUGCUAUACGGUCAAAAAAAUGGAUGAACGUGAUAGGGAUAAAUGAAACCAGAAAUAAAAAUUACUUUGUUUGUGAGAAACAUUUUAAAAGUUGUGAUUUUAAUCACAAUGGAGUUGGUGUUAAUGUAAAAAAAUUGAAAUUAUCUGCUGUGCCCAGUUUGUUUUUACCGGUGAUUGAAAUAGUAAAUGAAGAAUAUGAGCAUAGACAUAACAAUAUGGAAUUGUCUGUUGAUUUCGAGGAAAUUGAAUUGAAGAAUGAUAAUCUUACUAAUGAAAAUUUAGCAUUGAACAGAAAUGAAAUUAAUGACAGUAUUUGUAAUGAAAAUUCACCAACUAAAAUAAAUGACGGAACUUCAAAAUUAUUACUUCCUCAAUCUUUGUCUAGCUGUCAAGAAAUAUUUUGUGUUAAUUGCAAUAUAAGACAGAACAUUUUGAAAACCAGACAAUAUUAUUUAAAAAAACUAGCUGAAAUAAAAGAAGAAGAAAGUAAACUACCUUUAUCUUGUCCUUGUGAAAAUAAUGAAAAUCUCAAAUCAAAUAAACAAUUGAUGACACCGUUGGAUAAAAUAUGUAAUUACAAUUUUUCUACUCGAAGUCCAAAAUCACAUGCAAGACGCGCCUUUAUCCUUGAUCAUUCAUAUACAUCAACUCCUUCAAAGUUGAUUAAACACAAAAACGAAAAUACAAAAAAAGAAAAUUAGUCAAAUUAAGUCGAGGAGAGUGGUGCAAACGUGUAUACGUCAAAUAAAAUGGUUGCCCUUGAUUCUUCAUGGAAAGUUCCAAUUGGCUAUUUUUUUCAUAAAUGUCUAAACUAAAAAUACAAUGGAAAAUUAGCAUUAGAAGCUUUAAAAAAACUAUGAAAUUGAUAUUCAAGUUCCAUCUAACUUUUGAUGGUCCUGCAUCUCAUUUUUCUAUGGCCCAUACAUUAGGAACAAAUUUGUCAACAACAAAUACUAAAACAUUUUUCCACAUCCAAGUGACCUUGGAUCAAAACAAAAUUUGUUCACUGCCAUGCUCUGUUCAUAAGAAAUGCUUGGUCUACUAUGUGCCAGAUUUAUGAUGGUGAUAAAUUGAGGAGAAGACAUCUGGAAGUGACCACAACACAAAAUGGAUAUAUGUACUGGAUUUAGCUAGAAAUACUAGUUUUAACAACUUAAUACCUACUCAUAUUAUUUAAUUAAAAAAAAAAAAAAAAAUGAAUUUAUCCAUUUUUAAUUUGUUUAUUAAUUUUAACCAAACCAAAAUAUCAUUUUUGGAAGACAGUGAUAGUCACCUCCGUCCUCUGUGUGAUGCCAAAUAGUUAUCUUAAAAAUAAUUUAUCUGCUGGGCACAAAUAUUACAUAGAAAUUUAUACCUGAAAUAAAUUUGGUAUGGCAAUUUACUAUUUAUAUCUGAAAUCUAUCUUGCACAAUUUAUGGUUUUCCAUUGUUUCCAGAGUUUUGAGCAAGAAAGGUGUAGUAAAAUGCAAUAUGUUUUGUCAAUAUUGUUUUCUUUACCAAUGUGGUAGUGUUGUUCUGUGAUCUUCAUGCACAUUGUUGUAAUCUACUGAUAUAAAAUUAAAAUUAAAUUUUAAUACUGUUUUA